rnacentral:rRNA from 1 species
GACGAACGCUGGCGGCGUGCUUAACACAUGCAAGUCGAACGGAAAGGCUCUGCUGUUGUGGGGUGCACGAGUGGCGAACGGGUGAGUAACACGUGAGUAACCUGCCCUAGCCUUUGGGAUAACUUCAGGAAACUGGGGCUAAUAACGGCUAGGAGCUCCUGCUGCUUGGUGGGGGUUGGAAAGUUUCGGCGGUUGGGGAUGGAAUCGCGGCUUAUCAGCUUGUUGGUGGGGUAGUGGCUUACCAAGGCUUUGACGGGUAGCCGGCCUGAGAGGGUGACCGGCCACAGUGGGACUGGGAUACGGCCCAGACGCCUACGGGAGGCAGCGGUGGGGAAUAUUGCACAAUGGGCGGAAGCCGGAUGCAGCAACUCCGCGUGCGGGAUGACGGCCUUCGGGGUGUAACCCGCUUUCGCCUGUGACGAAGCGUGAGUGACGGUAAUGUGUAAAGAAGCACCGGCUAACUACGUG